rnacentral:rRNA from 1 species
GACGAACGCUGGCGGCGUGCCUAAUACAUGCAAGUAGAACGCUGAAGAGAGGAGCUUGCUCUUCUUGGAUGAGUUGCGAACGGGUGAGUAACGCGUAGGUAACCUGCCUUGUAGCGGGGGAUAACUAUUGGAAACGAUAGCUAAUACCGCAUGACAAUGGAUGACACAUGUCAUUUAUUUGAAAGGGGCAAUUGCUCCACUACAAGAUGGACCUGCGUUGUAUUAGCUAGUAGGUGAGGUAAUGGCUCACCUAGGCGACGAUACAUAGCCGACCUGAGAGGGUGAUCGGCCACACUGGGACUGAGACACGGCCCAGACUCCUACGGGAGGCAGCAGUAGGGAAUCUUCGGCAAUGGGGGCAACCCUGACCGAGCAACGCCGCGUGAGUGAAGAAGGUUUUCGGAUCGUAAAGCUCUGUUGUAAGUCAAGAACGGGUGUGAGAGUGGAAAGUUCACACUGUGACGGUAGCUUACCAGAAAGGGACGGCUAACUACGUG